UGGUUCGCAAUAGCAACCAUGCUAAGCGCACGAUUACCCGUUAAUGCAUGCCUAGUUCUCGUUUGUUGAUGCCACCACCAUGUUGUCUUACAUGUCACGAACCCAUUUCUGACUGACAAUCUUAAGCUCAGUCUCUAUACGUCAAACCCAAAUCGUUAUAUCAAAACCUAAAGGUCAUGACCCAAAUGCGAUCACGUAAAAAGCAAAAAAGGACAUAUCUAACUGAACUUUAUAACAAAUAAGAACAUGGGCCGCCUGAUGAACCUGUAAUUGAUUCGCAAUGAAAACAGCUUAAUUUCUUUGUUGGAUUGCUUUAUUAUUUUUGCCGACCAUGCAUUAUCAACUGAGAAUAACUUUGUAUGUCAAUUGCAUGAUGCGACGAAACAAAAGUGGACGGAGCAUUAGUACAAUGACAAGUCGGUACGCGGCUGUACGUGUGGUGGCCAUUAGCAAGAAUCAAUUCUCCUUCCACCC
rnacentral:lncRNA from 1 species